CAAUAAGUUAGUAACCUUAAACUUGCACAUGGCAGUUUGAGGGACGACUCGAGUAAAGACACUAGAGACGAUGAAGAGGAAUUAAAUCUUGAAUCAAAGACAAGCGACUAGAGACUAGAAAGUACUUAUUAACUGGGGGUAUGUAACAAUUUCGUUUCACUUUUCGGAAGCGACACCUGGAAACUUACUUACUUCGAGUGUUCUCUUGGCACGGUAUUCGUAGAUGACAGAUGAGAUGAUAUUAUUCAACUUCAUAUCGCGCCUUCUCGAUUGCGAGUAGAUAUUGGUUACCCUCUGCGUAACCGUUUAUACGUGAAACCGUUGGAAUUAAUCUCGACUUAAUUAGUUUAUUCAGGCAUACAUUUUGAUCUGUGGUGUGCAUUACAUUCGAGGUAUAGUUUUA